UACGAAGGGGGCUAGCGUUGCUCGGAAUCACUGGGCGUAAAGCGCACGUAGGCGGCUUUCUAAGUCAGGGGUGAAAUCCUGGAGCUCAACUCCAGAACUGCCUUUGAUACUGGAAAGCUCGAGUCCGGGAGAGGUGAGUGGAACUCCGAGUGUAGAGGUGAAAUUCGUAGAUAUUCGGAAGAACACCAGUGGCGAAGGCGGCUCACUGGCCCGGUACUGACGCUGAGGUGCGAAAGCGUGGGGAGCGAACAGG
rnacentral:rRNA from 1 species